UUUCCGUAGGUGAACCUGCGGAAGGAUCAUUACCGAGUUUUCGGGCUUCGGCUCGACUCUCCCACCCUUUGUGAACGUACCUCUGUUGCUUUGGCGGCUUCGGCCGCCAAAGGACCUUCAAACUCCAGUCAGUAAACGCAGACGUCUGAUAAACAAGUUAAUAAACUAAAACUUUCAACAACGGAUCUCUUGGUUCUGGCAUCGAUGAAGAACGCAGC
rnacentral:misc_RNA from 1 species